CACGCCGUAAACGCUGAUUACUAGGUGUAGGUGGUAUAGACUCCCUCUGUGCCGCAGUUAACGCAUUAAGUAAUUCACCUGGGGAGUACGGCCGCAAGGUUAAAACUCAAAGGAAUUGACGGGGGCCCGCACAAGCAGUGGAGUAUGUGGUUUAAUUCGAAGCAACGCGAAGAACCUUACCAGGGCUUGACAUCCGCGGACGACACUAGAGAUAGUGUUUUCUCUUCGGAGACUGAGAGACAGGUGG
rnacentral:rRNA from 1 species